UACGGAGGGUGCAAGCGUUAAUCGGAAUUACUGGGCGUAAAGGGUGCGUAGGUGGUGAUAUAAGUUAACUGUGAAAUCCCCGGGCUCAACCUGGGAAGGUCAGUUAAGACUGUGUGACUAGAGUAUGGGAGAGGGUAGUGGAAUUUCCGGUGUAGCGGUGAAAUGCGUAGAGAUCGGAAGGAACACCAGUGGCGAAGGCGGCUACCUGGCCUAAUACUGACACUGAGGCACGAAAGCGUGGGUAGCAAACAGG
rnacentral:rRNA from 1 species